AGAUUUGUUGAUUGACCUUCACAAAUUGCUCACAAUUCUCUAUCUCAAGAUUUCCUCUUUGAAAAGAAGAAAACUGCAGGGAUUGGAGAUUGAUUACGUCAGAGAUGAUGAUGGAUGGAUCGAAUCGGAGGGUCAACUCGGUUCAUAACAGUUAUGAAACAGUAAUUUUAUUUCACUUUUCAAUUAUAAAUUUUAAAUAAAUAUUUUCACACAUUUAUGCACUGAAAAGAUUGACCUUUAUUGUGCUAUUUCGGUUUCAGUUUUGAGUAGUUAUUUGAUCUUUAGAAAUUUGGUUAAUGAUGCUAAGGAUGGUAUAA